GGAAACUCUAAGAAUGCCACCAGGGCAAUAAGAGAGACACCCCCUUGAACAUUGUGAGAGUGAAGUCACUCAGCCUUUCCGACUCUUUUCAACCCUGUGGACUGUGUCCAUUGGAUUCUCCAGGGUGGAGUCCAUCAACAAAGUUCCGGUGGAUCCCUCUGUUCCCAAACUGGCCGCCUGAUGAAUCUUCCUGAAGCAUGGCUUGGGGAAUGGCACUCCAUUAUCCCAAAACCUUCAAUGUACUGCCUGCUCAGUUGAGCCCAAGUUCUGGCACAAAGAUAUGCCAGGUAGCACCAACCGAUCUUUCCAACUGGACGCCAAUAUUCCUGUGCCAUGACCAUCCUGGCUUGACAACACAGAGACAAGAAGACUCCCCUGCCCAAACUGGAGGAGGAACUGAUGAUGGAAAUUUGACAUCUACUCAAGAAUGAGGAAGAAAGUGGUCUUUCCCCUCUCCUCACUUUUCCUUUGAUUAUAAAACUGUAGCCUACUAAGUUCUCAGGGUGUGGUACUCUCUUACUUGCCUCUUGUAAGCCUCACAAGUGUCCUA
rnacentral:lncRNA from 1 species